GGUCAAGUGAAUAAGCGCAUACGGUGGAUGCCUUGGCAGUCAGAGGCGAUGAAAGACGUGGUAGCCUGCGAAAAGCUUCGGGGAGUCGGCAAACAGACUUUGAUCCGGAGAUCUCUGAAUGGGGAAACCCACCUACCAUAAGGUAGGUAUCUUGUACUGAAUACAUAGGUGCAAGAGGCGAACCAGGGGAACUGAAACAUCUAAGUACCCU
rnacentral:rRNA from 1 species